AGAAAAAUUAGAUACAUUGAAAACCAACAUUUUAAACAUCUAAUCCACAUUCUAUAUUUGACCUAGCCUCCAGUGACUCCGGUGACUCCAUCGGUCCACCCCAUGUUGAGCCUGGUGUAUCUUGGAUGAUGGUGUUCAGUCCAGCCAUCACGGUCCUCUCCACCUUCCUGUGCCUGACUUUUGUUUAUCUCUGCAGUCAGAAUGCAGAUGAAAAAGAUCAAAUGACUGAGAGAAGACCUGACAUGGGAGAGGAAAGUACAGUGAAUCAGGAUGAAGACGCAUGUUUCACCAGAGUUGUGUUCUUGGUUGCAGAUGGACAGAACAAAUAGAUUGGCUUUGUCUGAGCGGACAUCACACAAGCUCCACUUCAAACGUCUCACAAAGUCUUUAGAGUCCGAGUUUAAAGAUCUGUUAUUCUUGUUCACAGUGAUGAUGCGUUUUGUGGGCGGAGUCAAAAUGGUGUCAGAAAGUCAGCUAGUGGUGUUGAAUUAACUGUUUGUUUGUUUGUUUUCUGGCUUCUUGCUUUCACUUGAUAAGACGGUGUAUAGAGUAGUAAACAGGAAAGAGAGAGGGGGGAAUGACAUGUGGUAAUGGAACCACAGGCCGGACCUGAACCACCCGCCCAGAGGACCAGAGCUUCCAAACAUUCGGGGCAACCCAACCACCAGGUCAGCUGUGCUCAUGAAUUAACAAUUGGUUCUUCGGCAGAUGUUCAGCAGAAGCAGCUUUUGAAGACCCUUGUUUACUAUCACAAUGACGUUAAUCAUCCUACUACGACGCUCGAUGGCCGAUUAUCAUCCAAUUUGUCAAUGUCUUCAGACACAUUCACGUUGUUAGGGAAGAGUUUGUGGAGUCACAGAGUACAUUUAAAGAAAUGAAUAUUAUUUUCACCAUCUAUUUGUAAUACAUAUUCAAAUUAAUCAAAGUACGUUGUUGGUGUAUCUCUGUUAAAAGGUGAAGCAGAUCUAAGAAAGGUUGAGCCCAACAGGAGCCACAAAAAAGUGAAAAGAUUGAUGACAAAAUUCAACAGAAAUUCUAAUUGAUUCCAUGAGAACCUUUAUUCAAGGUUGUCAUUUUUUAUACAGUUUGGGUAAAAUGUGGUCAAAUCUAAGUUGGGCAACCUCAGAGCAGAAAGAGCCUUGCCUUCCACACGAUACUGAGGCUCCUGUUUGUUAAAUCAAUAAAUUGUUAAAUUGCCAAUGUGUCUUGUUUCUUCAAAUUUUAAUCCUCCA